rnacentral:tRNA from 1 species
GGUAGCUCAGCGGUAGAGCAGGUGACUGUUAAUCACUUGGUCGUAGGUUCGAUCCCUACAAACCU